CCUGGAAUUGGGGUGACUUCUCUGCUUUUCUCCUCAUUCCAGGAUCUAAAAGAGAAGAAGGAAGUUGUUGAAGAAACAGAAAAUGGCAGAGAUGCACCAGCCAACGGCAAUGCUAACGAGGAAAACGGAGAGCAGGAGGCUGACAACGAAGUAGACGAAGAGGAAGAGGAAGGUGGUGAGGAAGAGGACGAAGAGGAAGAGGGUGAUGGUGAGGAAGAAGACGGUGAUGAAGAUGAUGAAGCUGAGGGAGCCACAGGCAAACGGGCAGCUGAGGAUGAUGAGGACGACGACGUCGAUCCCAAGAAGCAGAAAACCGAUGAAGAUGACUAGGCAGCAAAUUAUUAUUAUUUUUUUUUUUAAAUAAGGAGGAAAACAAACCAACAAAAA